rnacentral:rRNA from 1 species
AUGGAGUACCAACCAUUGAUCUCGGCGCUUGAUGUCCGCACCGAGCCCGUCACGGUGGACCUCCUCUUCUCCCUCGUGUCCAACUUUGACUAGCGGGUCGAACUCUACCAUGGUAAUGGUUCUGGAGGCUUCAAAUCUUCAGCAAACUGUGCAUCUCGCGGCAGACAGGGAGGACGAGGUGGUGGCUACCGCAACCAGAAGAACGGUGGCGGUCGAUCCCGUGGUGGUUCUCACAGCGGCGGCGGCCAUGCUGGCAAUAGCAGCAGCCAUGCUGGCGGCGGCGGCGGCGGCUAUCAGGGAGGAGGUGAUGGCGGCGGCUACCAUCCCAAUGGAAACUUCAGCAGCGGCGGCGGCUACCAUCACAGCAAUGGUGGUGGUGGCUAUCAAGGGGGAGGAGGCGGCAGCUACCACUCUCCCAACAAUCACGGCGGCAACAACACCAGAAGAUCCUCCAACAACAACUGGAGCCCCUUCCAAGGCUAUGAUGGCUAUGAAGGCAAGUGCCAGAUUUGUAAAAAAAUCAACCAUAUUGCUAAAGAUUGUGAUUGGCGCAAUGCCGAUGACAACUCCUAG